rnacentral:rRNA from 1 species
AUUGAACGCUGGCGGCAGGCUUAACACAUGCAAGUCGAACGAGUGGCGGACGGGUGAGUUAUGCUUGGGAAUCUUGCUUAUGGAGGGGGAUAACUACGGGAAACUGUAGCUACUACCGCGUACCAUAGGAUGAGCCCAAGUGGGAUUAGGUAGUUGGUGAGGUAAAGGCUCACCAAGCCGACUAACUCUCGCUGGUCUGAGGGGAAGACCAGCAACACUGGGACUGAGAAGCGGCCAAAAUUCCUACAGGAGGCAGCAGUGGGGAAUAGUGCGCAAUGGGGGGAACCUGACGCAGCCAUGCCGCGUGAAUGAAGAAGGCCUUCGGGUUGUAAAGUUCUUUCGGUAGCGAGGCGUUAACUACAGAAGAAGCACCGGCUACUCCGUGCCAGCAGCCGUGGUAAUAC